AAUCAAGGUUUAUCUCCAGAGGCGGAAUCAUUUUUCCGCCAUUUCUUCGAUCCUAUUGGCUACCGACUGCGAAAGACUGGAGUUCGUGUGAACGACAGAUGGGGACAAAGAGGGAGGCUUUGUACCUAAUGCGCAUGCACAAGGGAACCCAGCAGUCCAAACACCACUAUUGUUCCUGAGAUUUACAGAGAGAUUCAACAGGUGUCAUCAUUGCCAUGGAUACCUCAUAGGCCUCCAGAAGAGACUGAUUUUAUAUUCCAUAGGAUGCCAAUCAGCUCCAGUAGAUAGUUGUUUGUCAUAGCUGCACAUCCUUCUAGUUGCUGCAUGUGGGACGCGGCCUCAGCAUGGCCGGAGAAGCGGUGCGUCGGUUCGUGCCCGGGAUCCGAACCAGGGCCGCCAGCAGCGGAUCGCGUUCACCUAACCACUAAGCCACAGGGCCGGCCCAAUAAAUGGACUUUGAUUAAUCAGAUAACAAGUGUUAGCAAGGAUGUGGAGGAACUGGAACUCUGUUGGUGGGAAUAUAAAAUAGUGCAGCUACUUUGGAAGACAGUCUGGCAGUUCAUCAAACAAUUAAACAUAAAAUUACCAUAUGAUCCAGAAAUUCCAUUCCUGGUUAUCCACCAAGAGAAUUGAAAACAUAUGUUCACACAAAAGUUUGUAUAUAGAAAUGUUCAUAACAGCAUUAUUCAAAAUAGCCAAAAGGUAUAUCAACUGAUGAAUGGUUAAACAAAAUAUGGUAUAUCCAUACAAUGGAAUAUCAUUUAGCCAUAAAAAGAAUGAAGUUCUGACACAUGCUACAACAUGGAUGGACCUUGAAAACAUUAUGCUAAGUGAAAAAAGCCAGUCACAAAAGACCACAUAUUAUAUGAUUCCAUUCAUAUGAAAUGUCCAGAAUAGGUGAACCUAUAGAGACAGAAAGUAGAAUAGUGCUUGCAUAAGGCUGUGGGGGAUGGGUAGAUGGGGGAAUAUAGCUAAAGGGUACAGGGUUUCUUUUUUAAAUGAUGAAAAUGUUGUAAAAUCAACUGUGGUAAUGGUUGCACAUAUCUGUGAAUAUACUAAAAUCCAUUGAAUUGUAUACCUUAAAUGGGCAAAUUGUAUAGUAUAUGAAUUUUAUCUCAAUAAA